rnacentral:tRNA from 1 species
AAAAAAUUAGUUAAUAUCUAUAUAACAUUAAUAUGUCAAAUUAAAAUAAUUAUAAUUAAUAAUAUUUUUUA